AAAAAAGGUAAGCUACUAAGAGCGAAUGGUGGAUGCCUUGACUGGUAAAGGCGAUGAAGGACGUACUAGACUGCGAUAAGCUACGGGGAGCUGUCAAGAAGCUUUGAUCCGUAGAUUUCCGAAUGGGGCAACCCAAUGUAUAGAGAUAUACAUUACCUAUAUAGGAGCGAACGAGGGGAAUUGAAACAUCUUAGUACCCUCAGGAAAAGAAAUCAAUAGAGAUUGCGUCAGUAGCGGCGAGCGAAAGCGCAAGAGGGCAAACCCAGUGCUUGCACUGGGGGUUGUAGGACUGCAAUGUGCAAGAGGUGAGUUUAGCAGAACAUUCUGGAAAGUAUAGCCAUAGAGGGUGAUAGUCCCGUAUGCGAAAAACAAACCUUAGCUAGCAGUAUCCUGAGUAGGGCGGGACACGAGAAAUCCUGUCUGAAGCUGGGUCGACCACGAUCCAACCCUAAAUACUAAUACCAGAUCGAUAGUGCACAAGUACCGUGAGGGAAAGGUGAAAAGAACUGAGGUGAUCAGAGUGAAAUAGAACCUGAAACCAUUUGCUUACAAUCAUUCAGAGCCCUAUGUAGCAAUACAGGGUGAUGGACUGCCUUUUGCAUAAUGAGCCUGCGAGUUGUGGUGUCUGGCAAGGUUAAGCAAACGCGAAGCCGUAGCGAAAGCGAGUCUGAAUAGGGCGCUUAGUCAGAUGCUGCAGACCCGAAACGAAGUGAUCUAUCCAUGAGCAAGUUGAAGCUAGUGUAAGAACUAGUGGAGGACUGAACCCAUAGGCGUUGAAAAGCCCCGGGAUGACUUGUGGAUAGGGGUGAAAGGCCAAUCAAACUUCGUGAUAGCUGGUUCUCUCCGAAAUAUAUUUAGGUAUAGCGUUGUGUCGUAAUAUAAGGGGGUAGAGCACUGAAUGGGCUAGGGCAUACACCAAUGUACCAAACCCUAUCAAACUCCGAAUACCUUAUAUGUAAUCACAGCAGUCAGGCGGCGAGUGAUAAAAUCCGUCGUCAAGAGGGAAACAACCCAGACUACCAGCUAAGGUCCCUAAAUCUUACUUAAGUGGAAAACGAUGUGAAGUUACUUAAACAACCAGGAGGUUGGCUUAGAAGCAGCCAUCCUUUAAAGAAAGCGUAAUAGCUCACUGGUCUAGUGAUUUUGCGCGGAAAAUAUAACGGGGCUAAAGUAAGUACCGAAGCUGUAGACUUGCACACAACUUAGAUUAUUUAAGUUUAGAAUAUGAGAAACUAAGUUAUAUGUUUAGUUAUAUUUUUACUGAUUUUUAUAGAGUAAAGAUAGAAAUAAAACUUAGUAAAAUCAGUAAAAAUAUUCUUAGACUAAAGUUAAGUAGUUUAAGUUGUGUGCAAGUGGUAGGAGAGCGUUCUAUUUGCGUCGAAGGUAUACCGGUAAGGAGUGCUGGAGCGAAUAGAAGUGAGCAUGCAGGCAUGAGUAGCGAUAAUUAAUGUGAGAAUCAUUAACGCCGUAAACCCAAGGUUUCCUACGCGAUGCUCGUCAUCGUAGGGUUAGUCGGGUCCUAAGUCGAGUCCGAAAGGGGUAGACGAUGGCAAAUUGGUUAAUAUUCCAAUACCAACAUUAGUGUGCGAUGGAAGGACGCUUAGGGCUAAGGGGGCUAGCGGAUGGAAGUGCUAGUCUAAGGUCGUAGGAGGUUAUACAGGCAAAUCCGUAUAACAAUACUCCGAGAACUGAAAGGCUUUUUGAAGUCUUCGGAUGGAUAGAAGAACCCCUGAUGCCGUCGAGCCAAGAAAAGUUUCUAAGUUUAGCUAAUGUUGCCCGUACCGUAAACCGACACAGGUGGGUGGGAUGAGUAUUCUAAGGCGCGUGGAAGAACUCUCUUUAAGGAACUCUGCAAAAUAGCACCGUAUCUUCGGUAUAAGGUGUGGUUCGCUUCGUAUUAGGAUUUACUCCGAAAGCGAAGAAACUUACAACAAAGAGUCCCUCCCGACUGUUUACCAAAAACACAGCACUCUGCUAACUCGUAAGAGGAUGUAUAGGGUGUGACGCCUGCCCGGUGCUCGAAGGUUAAUUGAUGGGGUUAGCAUUAGCGAAGCUCUUGAUCGAAGCCCGAGUAAACGGCGGCCGUAACUAUAACGGUCCUAAGGUAGCGAAAUUCCUUGUCGGUUAAAUACCGACCUGCAUGAAUGGCGUAACGAGAUGGGAGCUGUCUCAAAGAGGGAUCCAGUGAAAUUGUAGUGGAGGUGAAAAUUCCUCCUACCCGCGGCAAGACGGAAAGACCCCGUGGACCUUUACUACAGCUUGACACUGCUAUUUGGAUAAGAAUGUGCAGGAUAGGUGGGAGGCUUUGAGUAUAUGACGCCAGUUGUAUAUGAGCCAUUGUUGAGAUACCACUCUUUCUUAUUUGGGUAGCUAACCAGCUUGAGUUAUCCUCAAGUGGGACAAUGUCUGGUGGGUAGUUUGACUGGGGCGGUCGCCUCCCAAAUAAUAACGGAGGCUUACAAAGGUUGGCUCAGAACGGUUGGAAAUCGUUCGUAGAGUAUAAAGGUAUAAGCCAGCUUAACUGCAAGACAUACAAGUCAAGCAGAGACGAAAGUCGGUCUUAGUGAUCCGGUGGUUCUGUGUGGAAGGGCCAUCGCUCAAAGGAUAAAAGGUACCCCGGGGAUAACAGGCUGAUCUCCCCCAAGAGCUCACAUCGACGGGGAGGUUUGGCACCUCGAUGUCGGCUCAUCGCAUCCUGGGGCUGGAGCAGGUCCCAAGGGUAUGGCUGUUCGCCAUUUAAAGCGGUACGCGAGCUGGGUUCAGAACGUCGUGAGACAGUUCGGUCCCUAUCUGCCGUGGGCGUAAGAAGAUUGAAGAGAUUUGACCCUAGUACGAGAGGACCGGGUUGAACAAACCACUGGUGUAGCUGUUGUUCUGCCAAGAGCAUCGCAGCGUAGCUAAGUUUGGAAAGGAUAAACGCUGAAAGCAUCUAAGCGUGAAGCCAACUCUAAGAUGAAUCUUCUCUAAGCUCUCUAGAAGACUACUAGUUUGAUAGGCUGGGUGUGUAAUGGAUGAAAGUCCUUUAGCUGACCAGUACUAAUAGAGCGUUUGGCUUAUCUUUAAUAAAGCAU
rnacentral:rRNA from 2 species